AUGGAGGGACCGCCGCGUGCUGCACACGAAGGACAACCCCGACACGUCGUCGCCAGUGAUGAGUCUAGCGUGAAGGGACCGCCGCGGGCUGCACACGAAGGACAACCCCGACGCGUCGUCGCCAGUGAUGAGUCCGGCAUGAAGUGUUCGCCAGGGGUUGCACAUGAAGCGCAGCCCCGGCGCGUCGUCACCGGUGGUGAGUCUGGCGUGAAGUGUUCGCCGGGGGUAGCACAUGAAGGGCAGCCCCGGCGCGUCGUCGCCGGUGGUGAGUCCGGUGUGAUGGGAUCGCCGGGGGCUGUACAUGAAUGGCAACCCCGGCGUGUCGUCUUCAAGAGCAUCAAGGGCCAACAACGGCAGCCGGCUUCAUCUCCGGCCGUGCGGCCGCAGCUCUAG
rnacentral:rRNA from 1 species